GCUCCCUCCAAUGAAUCCUCCACUCCAGACCUUUCAGACAGGAAUACAGAGGUCUCCGUCUUGCAUAACGGAGUAAAAAUGUGAAACGCAGAGGUGCAUCCCUUGCAGGCCUGCGCCAUUUUACAGCAAAGAAUGAGUGAUCUGCAUCUUCGCCAGCACUUGAUGGUGCCAUUAUUUUUCACAUCGAGAAGAGAGCAGUACUCGUCCAGCGUCAGCACUGGCUUGAGUUCUUUGACAUAAACAAACUGGAUAUCCAUUCUGAUAGCUUUUUCUUACCUUCGUCCAGUGAUGAUGGACAUCCAUUGUUCCCAGCAUCACGUGGCCCACUGCACUGAUCCCGGAACGGUCUGUAAAUAUUACUGUACAUCCUGAUGACAAAACAAACCCUCUGGUCACUGUACAGAGAUGCUUCAUCCUUUCAGCACUGUGCAAAUAAUUACUUACAUUUAGUGUAUAAAUUCAGGAUUAAAUGCAGAAGU